rnacentral:rRNA from 1 species
UACGGAGGGUGCAAGCGUUAUCCGGAUUUACUGGGUUUAAAGGGUGCGUAGGCGGGCUUUUAAGUCAGUGGUGAAAACUCCGAGCUUAACUCGGAAACUGCCAUUGAUACUAUUAGUCUUGAAUUUAGUUGAGGUUGGCGGAAUGUGUCGUGUAGCGGUGAAAUGCUUAGAUAUGACACAGAACACCGAUUGCGAAGGCAGCUGGCUAAACUAAAAUUGACGCUGAGGCACGAUAGUGUGGGGAUCAAACAGG